ACCAGGAUGGCUGAGUGGUUAAGGUGUUGGACUUAAGAUCCAAUGAAUGUGGGUUCAAACCCCACUCCAGGUA